AGAAAUCAAUUGGUGAAUAGCUCUUAAUUUGAUAACCAAGGGAAUUGUAACCAAAAAAAAGGUCUUUCUUUCCCCAUUCCAUUUUGUCUCAUUUUUCCAUUCAAGUUCACUACUAUUCAUGACUUUCUCCAUUCAAGCACAUGAAGCUGUCAAUAGUCUAUAUAUUGUAGGUGAGAGAUCGAAAUCGCGUUCCUAGUUUAACUGAAUCUGCUAAACUCACACACCAGGAUCGGAAGACCCAAUCAAAUUAUCUGGGAAAAGAUUAAAAGCCCCUUCCAGGUAACUUGUCAGGAUCGAUCUUGUAUUAGCCUAUUAGGUCUGUUUGCUGAAAAUGAGAAAUUAUUUGCGCUUACAUAAUCUUCCCCGGCCCUCAGGCUGGAGACGCUACAUAAAUCUUAAGAUGAUGAAGCUUGUGCUGCUUGUUGUGAUUUCUGAUAUUGCCACUUUGGUUUCAAAAUCAUAUUUGCAUAAUAUAUGAUCAUCAUGUUCCUUUGAUUCUGGAAUCUUAUAGUUGGUAAUUGAAACAAAUCUCUGCUGUACGUGUAUGUAUGUAAUUAUCUGUGUAUGGGCCAAGGACAUUCUCACACUACAUUUAGGAAGCUAGGAUAUCUAUCUGUACGUAUGAUAUGCAUGAGCUGUAAUAUCCAACCUAUUAUGAUCAUGUGGUAGUUUUUAAAAGUGGAGAAUUGGAUUGGAGUUACAUGACCUAAAUUGUUAUCUCCAGAAUUCGUAGUUAUAGUUUUCUAAAGUUAUAUUGAAUGUACUGAGUUCUUGCUUUCUAUCAUACUGUCUUGUGUUGUGUCAAUGAAAAUAUACAUUGGUAUAUAUAUAUAUAUAUAUAUAUAUAUAUAUAUAUAUAUAUAUUACAUGAAAGACUGCUGUAUAAUGAAGAAAAAUAACAACGAAAAAACAAUCAUUUUGCGCAAAACACUCAUGAAAGUGAUGAGGGAGAAAGAUGAUAAGGCAACAAAUUCCUCUUUAUAUUAAGCUUGUAAAACAUUUCAACUCUCCCUCCCUCAAAGAUGUAUCACUGUCCUUACCAGACUUCCCAGCAUACACCUAGCCUUUUUGAUAUAGCAUAAUCAAUUACUGAUUCUUUACGUUUAAUCAAUAGAUGGAAAGGGACUGAGCCUAGCAACUGGAACACAAACCAAUGGAUGAGCUCUUGGAAGUGUUAAUCCAAGGCCCUCUUCCAUGUCAACACUACCACUAGGUACCUUCCAUUCAAAGCACUGAAUCAUAGCUGCAAGUGUUGUCUGCA
rnacentral:lncRNA from 1 species